rnacentral:tRNA from 1 species
GGAGCACAAUGGUUAAGUGCUUGGCUGCUAACCAAAAGGUGGUGGUUCGAACCCACCC